UCCCUGCAGGUUGCGGUUCUACUGAUGGACACACAGGGGGCGUUCGACAGCCAGUCCACCAUCAGAGACUGCGCCACGCUGUUCGCCCUGAGCACCAUGACCAGCUCCGUCCAGGUGUACAACCUGUCCCAGAAUGUCCAGGAAGACGACCUGCAGCACCUCCAGCUCUUCACCGAGUACGGACGCCUGGCCAUGGAGGAGGUCUACGAGAAACCAUUUCAG